rnacentral:rRNA from 1 species
CGUAGGGUGCGGGGCGUUAAUCGGAAUUACUGGGGCGUAAAGCGUGCGCAGGCGGUUUGUUAAGACAGAUGUGAAAUCCCCGGGCGUCAACCUAGGGAACGUGCAUUUGUUGACUGGCGAGGCUAGAGUAUGGCGAGAGGGGGGUAGGAAUUCCACGUGUAGCAGUGAAAUAGCGUAGAGAUGUGGAGGAAUACCGAUGGCGAAGGCAGCCCCUCGGGCAAUACUGACGCUCAUGCACGAAAGCGUGGGGAGCAAACAGGAUU